UAGGGAAUAUUAGAAAUGGACGAAAGUCUGAUCUAGCAACACCGCGUGUGCGAUGAAGGCCUUCGGGUUGUAAAGCACUUUUUGGAAGGAUUAGGAGGGAAUGUACUUCUAGAAUAAGUCUCGGCUAACUACGUGCCAGCAGCCGCGGUAACACGUAGGAGGCGAACGUUAUCCGGAUUUACUGGGCGUAAAGCGCGUGUAGGUGGUUCUGUAAGUAGGGCGUGAAAGCUCCUGGCUCAACUGGGAGAGGCCGUUCUAAACUGCAGAGCUAGGGGAUGGUAGAGGGAGGUGGAAUUCCGGGUGUAGCGGUGGAAUGCGCAGAUAUCCGGAGGAACACCAGUGGCGAAGGCGGCCUCCUGGACCAUUCCUGACACUCAGACGCGAAAGCUAGGGUAGCAAACGG
rnacentral:rRNA from 1 species